CGCCGUCGUCAUCGUCGUCGCGGGGUCUCGCUCCGGCAUUUUGACAGUUGGGGUUUGGCUGCCGUGUGAACAAACUUUGACCGUAUGACGAACACCGUUGAAUGUGAAGCAAUGAGUGGAAUUUACGAGGGGCUAUGAGGCAUCCAAGCAGCAAAAAACAUCCUCUACACCUAAGAGAUCAAUGUAGCACAAAAAGUGGAUUCCCCAAAACUACUCCUAAGAUUCUCACUGGCUGCCAGUUUCAAAUAGAUUGCAGUAAUUCUUCGUGUAGGGAGUAGAGUUUAUUUAUAAUAAUA